rnacentral:lncRNA from 1 species
GCUGAGGCAUGAAGAGGGCUCACCCUUAUGCCAAGGAGGGGAGGUGUCCUGGGUAGCAGCGCUGUUUGUCACUGGGUCCUCAAUACCUGGUGAGGUGGCACCUGUGCUUCAAGGCUCCAGGCAGGGGGCUCAGGGAGCCCGAGAUGGGAGUCACCCCCGGGGCCUAGCCAUGGUGACUGAAACCAGGUGGGGCAGGCCUACCCGCCUCCCGCCCUGGGCCUCUCACUUUCCUCAGGCUGCGGCUGGGAGGAGAGGCCCAGGGAGGGCUGAGUCACAGUCCCUGGCUUGGGCCACAUGACUCCGGCCCCCAGGUUCCUGUGUGAGCAGCUGGGCCCGAGCAGUAGACGCAGGGUGCCCUGGCAAUCCCAGGAGACUUCCUGGAGGAGGAGGAGGAGAGCAGGGGUCCUGGCAGCAGGGGAACAGGAGACUUUCCUCAAGCCGCCCACAGGAAGAGGUGGAAUCCCGCCCCAGGUACCAUGACACACAGCUUCCUCACAGGCCCCAGACUGUCCUGCUGGUUGGGCGAGUGCCUGAGGGCUGGUCUCGUCACCACGGGGAAGUGACCUCACUCACUUCUCACUCGGGAGUUUCAAAGAGGUGUCCCCAUUCCGCCCACUGCUGGGCUCCAGCACCAAGGGGCCAGGGAGCUGGGCAGGGCAGUGAGUGUCCAGGCCGGAUGUUUGGGGACCCAGUCUGACCUGCCGCUGCCUGUGGUGGAGGCCCUCUGCCCAGGCUCUGGGAAUCCCGGAUGCAGCCCUCAGAUAGAUAUUAGUAAACUUGGCUGGGACUGACGCCGCCUGACCCCACCAAGUGAGGCAGAGCCAGCACGGCCCGUCCAGGUCUCAGCCACAGGGGCAGGAGACUGCAGGGGGCGCAGAACGGGCCUCGGAAUGCUGUGUGGUCCUGACUGGGUUGCUUCACCUCUCUGAGUACCACUCCUGAGUACACAUCUCCCUCUCCAGCACCUGCCUGGCCUAGAGCCCUGGCAGACACAGCUUCCGGGAGGCAGCCCAGAUCCACACCAGGGCCCUGUGGCCAGCAGGAAGUUGGUGGGUCCUGGUCUCCAACCACUGAAGGACCUCUGGGCUCUGGCCUGUCAAACAGCCUGCGAGGCUCCCAAGGUCCUCACUCGGGUUCCUACACGGAGCUUUGCCCCCUCCGCAUCCCUAUCCCCAAAAGCCUGAGAAACAGGGUCCACAGUCCCCAUGCUCCAGAGAGGGCCCUGAGGUGGCCCACCUGGGGCAUUGGACGGGGCCUGGUGGCAGUGUGACCGUGCAUGCUGCUGCUCCUGUUUGAGCAUUUGUAAGGGGGUAACUGCUCCCAGGGUGUCACUGAGGUGGAGGUUGGCAGCAGCUCCCAAGGUCCUAAGCAGAGGGCUUUGGCCAGGCAGGAGCCCAGGUCAUCAGCAGUGGGGGUCCUCGGGCUUCUGGGUGGGGCUGUUGACGGUGGGCCCGGCCUCGGCCUGCCCCGAGUCCAUCAGGAGCGACACACCGUACCUGGUCUGGCCUGUGCAGAGAGCCCAGGGGCCUGGGCUGGGCUGGCAGGAAGCCCGGAGAGGCCCCCACCAGGCCUCACGCCCUGCCCCACGCUGGUCCCUGUCCAGUGGGGGUGAGGUUCCCUGAGAGUGCAGGGCUCGGGCGAGAGGAGCAGGGGCCCGCAGCAAGCAGGGCGGCUUCUCGCACUGGCCUCCUGGGGCCCCAGCGUCUCCCCAGCCAGGCUUUUUCACCUAGAGGGUAGAACACCCACUUCAGGUGUUCCCUGGCUAGUGGGUGGCGGCUGGGAAUAGUGCCCAGCACACUGGUACCACCUGGCCUUUGGGGUCUCCUCAGGACUUCCAGCAGAGUCCUCCAAGCUGUCCUCUCCGUCCCAUGGUCCCCUGCCACCUGUUCCCAUGUGUGCCAUGCCCCUGCUGGCACCUGCAGUGAAGUGGGUCUCCCCUCCCCUCUCCUCUGGGGUCCCAGCACCAGCCAGGCCCGUAGGUGCUCAAGCAAUGCCAGGUGCCUGGGAGGCCCAGGGCCGAGGCUCCAC